CUGGGCGUAAAGCGAGCGUAUGUGGCUUGAUAAGUCAGAUGUGAAAGCCCCGGGCUUAACCUGGGAACGGCAUCUGAUACUGUUAGGCUAGAGUAGGUGAGAGGAAGGUAGAAUUCCAGGUGUAGCGGUGAAAUGCGUAGAGAUCUGGAGGAAUACCGAUGGCGAAGGCAGCCUUCUGGCAUCAUACUGACACUGAGGUUCGAAAGCGUGGGUAGCAAACAGGAUUAGAUACCCUGGUAGUCCACGCCGUAAACGAUGUCUACUAGUCGUUGGGUCCCUUGAGGACUUAGUGACGCAGCUAACGCAAUAAGUAGACCGCCUGGGGAGUACGGCCGCAGGGUUAAAACUCAAAUGAAUUGACGGGGGCCCGCACAAGCGGUGGAGCAUGUGGUUUAAUUUGAUGCAACGCGAAGAACCUUACCUGGUCUUGACAUAUCUAGAAUCCUGCAGAGAUGCGGGAGUGCCUUCGGGAAUUAGAAUACAGGUGCUGCAUGGCUGUC
rnacentral:rRNA from 1 species